rnacentral:sRNA from 2 species
AGGAGAAAAAAGUUGGAAAUUCAAAUUGCCUCCCCGCCGCAAGGCAUGGAUAGAGUUUAGCCCCAUGUCCUAGUUUUUUUCUUUUUUUUUUCCCCCCCUUGCUAACCACGUGCAACAAGGUGUCUGCACAGGCAAAGAAAACAGCAUGGACCCUGGGAUGGAUAAUACACUGCAGCAGCACGUUGAACGGAUCGUAAUUUUACUAUUAUAUUCAACGAAGCUGGUGUGGUUUUUUAUUUCUUUUUGACGCGGGGAUUUAGUAGCGGGGAGCAAGCAGUUUCGGCCAAAAUUUAUAGUUUUCCACAGCCAAAAGUGCUGAAGGACUCCGUCUUUCCUCUGUCGAAUUAUCACCAUUAACACAAGUCCUAUACAUACAUACAUGCUACCAUGCAUUCCAGAAAAGAGCCAUCAUUUGUAACUCCACGGUGUCCAACGCCUUUAAAUGGGUCUAUACAUAUCUAGAUGCAUUGACUGAUGCCUGAUUGUAAUGCGCCGCGACAAAUAUCUAAUCUACAACAAUGACAACGAGAAGGGAAAUAAAUGAAAGCAACCGAAAUUAUCAUUUGCCGGUAGCAGCGGGAGAAGAGACGCCUGGGGGUACCGCCGCAGU